CAGUAGCCGCGGGAAUACGGAGGGUGCAAGCGUUAUCCGGAUUUAUUGGGUUUAAAGGGUCCGUAGGCGGAUCUGUAAGUCAGUGGUGAAAUCUCACAGCUUAACUGUGAAACUGCCAUUGAUACUGCAGGUCUUGAGUAAAUUUGAAGUGGCUGGAAUAAGUAGUGUAGCGGUGAAAUGCAUAGAUAUUACUUAGAACACCAAUUGCGAAGGCAGGUCACUAAGAUUUAACUGACGCUGAUGGACGAAAGCGUGGGGAGCGAACAGGAUUAGAUACCCGCGUAGUCCCUGUCUCUUAUAC
rnacentral:rRNA from 1 species